GAUCUUGGCUCAGGACGAACGCUGGCGGCGCGCCUAACACAUGCAAGUCGAACGAGCGAGAGGGAGCUUGCUUUCUCGAGCGAGUGGCGAACGGGUGAGUAACGCGUGAGGAACCUGCCUCAAAGAGGGGGACAACAGUUGGAAACGACUGCUAAUACCGCAUAAGCCCACGGCUCGGCAUCGAGCAGAGGGAAAAGGAGCAAUCCGCUUUGAGAUGGCCUCGCGUCCGAUUAG
rnacentral:rRNA from 1 species